UACAUUUAAAUCAGAGAAGAAGUGAAUCGGAAGGAAUUAGUGAGGAUUUUGUGGAGUUACUCAGCGGAGAAGUGAAUCGGAAGGAAUUGGUUUACUUAUGGAAUUUGAUGGGGGUUUGAUGUUAUGAAUGGCUGAGCAGUUAGUGAAUAUGACUUUUUCUGUUUGCAUAAUAUGCUAGAGGUAAUUUGCUGUCUGGAGGGAGCUAGAAUUGGCAUCCAGUAUGAGACAUCUUUUGUCAUUAAAACCCAUCAUUUCUAAUGUUUAUAAUUUUGGCACAAGCUUUGAACCAUACCAAUGGUACACAGAGCUUUGCCAGAAAAGCGUAUGAAAGGGCGCGCAAAAAUCUCCCAGUUAAUCCACUCAGUAUGUUCAUGGUAACUCACAAGGCUAGUAAGCUGGGUAAACUGUGUGAAGAUUGGCAGAGAUGAAACGGAUUAGUGAGAAGGUUCAUCUAGGGAAGUCAGCUACACGCCUGAGGAAAUAUAUGCAAUGGUUGUUGAUCCUCGUCGUACUGGUGUUAAGCGUGCUCGUAAGUCAAAAGUUGCUACUCGCUUCAGUCUACAUGAGAAAAAUGAAGCACACAUGUCUGCUCUCCAAGAACAGCUGGACUCUGCAAAAGAAGAAAGUUGCAAAGCAAGACAAAGAUAUCUCAAAGCUUCAACGGAGGGAGCGUAAUCUCACAGAGUAUUUGAAUGAGGCUUUGAAGAUGCUUGGUUGUGAACCCGUGCCAGAUGAUCUAGAAGAUGAGUCUGAAGAUGAACGUCAACAGGAGAAUGAAGUUGAAGAUGGAUUUACUUGGGAUGACUUGCGCGAAGAUGAUUUGCAGGAUGAUGGAUGUGCUGAUGUUAAUAAGGAGAAUGAACUAUCUGGAGAGGAAGAUGGUGAGGAAAUUAAUGAAUGAUGUGUGUGCAGUUGUGUUUUGAUGAAUAUACAGGCCUCAUGCCGUUCACUGGACCCUUUUUUGCCCUUUGUUCAGACCUUUUGUUCUUUUCGGGGAUGGGUUGUAAACCAGUUAUGUUUCUUUUUUUUU